CUCACUUCCCUUUUCUGUGUGAAUACUGAUCUUUCGACAAGCUCAUGGGAAAUGCUCAGCCCUAAGGACCCAAACACUCUGUGUGUGUUGUCUAUUCCUAAGCACGGUUGGAGCUUCUGGGAAGAGAUACCAUGAUCUUCAUUUCCACAGCCAUGCUCUGUCUGGGACUGACUCUGGGACUCAGGUCUCCAGUGCUGGCAGGAGACCCCUACAGCAAACCUAGAUUGUCAGCUGUGGACAGCGCUGUUGUGAAUGCAGGAGAGACUGUGACCCUUCAAUGUAUAUCAUGGCAGAGAUAUGAUGGAUUUAUUUUGACCAAGGAAGGAGAGCCCAAGUUCUCCAGAACCCUGGACUCACAGUAUAUUUUCACUGGGCAUUUGCAAGCCAUGUUUCCUGUGGGUCCUAUGACCCUCAGUGACAGGGGGACGUUCAGAUGUUAUGGCUACUACAAAAAAGAUCCACAGAAGUGAUCUAUGGCCAGUGACCCCCUGGAAAUACACGUAUCAGGAGCAUCUGAGAUGAUCAACUCAUCAAAAGUCAAGAUAGCCUCAAAACCCCAGGAUCAUACAAUGGACAACCUCAUCCGGAUGGCUAUGGUUGGCUUGGUCUUCCUGGUUUUUGGGAUUCUGCAAUUCAAGACUUGGUACAGCCACAGACAGAUCUGAUAAGCACCUGGGAGAUGAACAGAAGAGACAGCGGCAUCCUUCUUGUUGGCAGAUUCUGAGAAAUAGGUCUGAGGAUUCAAAGGGUUUUUGUAAGAAAAUCUGGGGUUUAUGUUUGAAACUGUUUUCAGUAUUGUUCAGGGAGCAAGUGUGUUUUGGGUUGAAGGAGAGGUCUGGAUGUUGGGGUACAGAGCUUUCCUCUACCAGAUUAAGUUUCUAUUUACUGUGUUGGGAGCUUUUGUUGAGUGAUGCCUCCUCUCUUACUACAAGACACAGGAAAAAUCAUGUCCUAAAGCCUGGUUGGGUUCUUAACCUCAACCAUCUUCUAAUUUCUCUCAGCUUAAUGUAACAUUUUCCUUAAUUAUAUAUCAUCAUAUUCUCCAUUGCACUGUGAGAUUCUGUUUUUUCUAAUGAUAACAAGCUAUCUGUCUCAAUAACAAUAACUAUGAGCAUAAAUCAGAUUCUAGAAAGAAAAAUGACUGAACAAAAAAGUCAAAUCCUGAAACCCUGCAAUUUUCACUACAUGGUCAUUGUAUGGUUUCUCCUAAAAUAUAAAGACUUACCAGCCAUCAACACACUGGUGUUUGAAGGAGUUUUCUAGAAGGGUACUGUUGACAUGGGCUUUGUAAAUAUCAUUUUCUAAACAUGUUCCAAUAUGUGACAUUUAUUGAUUGCUGUAUAUAAUAUAAUCUCCUCCUGGCCAACUUCAUGACAUACACGUAAAACCAUGUGUGAGAAGUUUGGAAAUGAUACGUGAUAUUGAUGUACUUUUAAUCAAAUUUAUCUGUUAAUUGCUGCCACAUGCAAAAGCAAUUAACAUGUAAAUAAAUCAACAUUUAAUGCCUUUGAUAUAAUCAUUUCUUUGGGGACUGGAGAAAUGGCUCAGAGGUUCAGAGCACUGUCUGCUCCUCCAGAGGAUUCUCGUUCAAUUUCCAGCAUCUUCCUGAUGGUUCACAACUCCAGUUCCAUAGAAUCUGACAUCUUCCGGCCUUUGUGGCUAUGAACAUUCAUGCAGAAAAAACACCCCCCACACACAAACAAAAAUAAAUAAAAUAGGAAAAAUUAAUCACUGCUCAAUUCUAUAAAGUUAAUUUGUAAAAUAAUUUAUAAUGUCUACAUAAACAAUCAUGAAACAAGCAAAAAUGACAGUUGUAUGUCUUGAAAUGUUGAGGCACAGGUGUGUGGGUUCAUGCAGAGCUGUGGAAAAAUAGCUCAGAGGCACCUUAAGAAUGAAUUUAGCCUUUGGGGAUGCAGGGGAUCAUCUCUAAGGACUGAAACACUUUCCCUUUGCCCAGGGCAUAUUUAUUUUUCUCUAUAUUUACAGUUUAGCCAGUUGAUUUCCAUAUCUCUUAAACAACCUGAAAGAAUCUCCCCAAAAUAUAAUGCCAAGUACAAAUUACUCAAUUCAUCAGAUACCACAGUUUUCCAGGUUUUCUGAACCAAGUUUUGCACAUGUCUUUGUAUCCUUGGGAGACUCUGAGACAAGAUUCACAUAGAGCAACAAGACAAACAAAAGGUGUUUGCUAAACAAAAGAUGGGUUAGCGAUGGGUGCUACUCUCUGGCACCCAGGCCAGAUAUAGCCCAGUGGCAAUGCAGUCUUCACAGAUCUCCCUUUCUUUUAUACAAAAAUCAGUUAUCUUGAAGGUUAUUCAGCCUCACAGUAAAUACAGCUUUUUUUCUAUCUAUCUGUCUUACAAUCUUAUGCAACUAUACCAAAAUACAUUUUAAAGUCAAUAAGUUACUAUUGUUAGAACAAGAGCAACAUCUACUGGGAUAAGAAAUCUAUUAAAGUGAUUCAUAGGAUUGAAUGAGGCUAUGGUAUCUGCUGGACAUUCCAUAAUGUCCAUUCCUGUCAUAUCAUGUAACUUUUUCAAAGGUUUCUUUAAUUUCUUUCUGUAAAUCGUUUGAGAAGAAUUAGGGUGACCCAACAUGUGCAUCUUAACCUUAUCUCAAUCAUUCUUGCUUUCAUUAAAUCUUAAGGGUGUGAUACAAUAACAAUAAACAUUCCAAUCACAUUUUAAUUUUACCUGCUACUUCAAAAUUUCUAAUUGAUCCCCCAAUAAUACAAUGGCUUGCUUUAACUCAGCUAAUUCAUUUACUAUCUCAUUAUCAAUCUGAUUUUGUUCAGUCAAAAGUUCUUCUGAAUCCCUAUGCUAGUCUCUAAUGAAUUCAGCAGUUUGAAUUUCUUUAUGAAGCACCACUCCAGCUGUUGCUGCCACAGCUGUCUAUGCAAUGAUUCCCAUAAUAACUACAACCACCAGUCCAACCAUUCAACAUGUUCUUUUUACUCUUCUUUCAGUGAGCUUCUGUACCAGGAUCAUCACAGGAGACUCUUACAUGGCCUUGACAACUUCACUGGUAUCCAGAUUCCUGGCCUUGCUCUAAGAAUAUAUAAAUUUUCAAAGGUCAAAUUUAAAAACAUACUAGAAUUAACACAGGUACAAAGGGUACAGCAUUCAUAAGCGAUGCUGUAUUUAUUAGGAUUCCAUUGUACAGGCCCUUUCAAAAGCUAGUAAGUACACAUGACAUAAAAGGAUGGCUUUAAUUUAGUCUAAAAGACAGAGUAUACUUAUUUUACUUAAUGUUUAAUUUUUUUCCCAUGACUUAAGUGGGUGGAAGGCACUUGCCAAUUUCUAUAAGUUAGUCUGAAUUGAAUUGUCAAAUUGCAGGAGAGGACUUGCCAUUCCAACUCCAUGCUACUGAAUAGGUUCAUUAACAGAAGCAUUGAUUUUCACAGUUCCAUUCAAAUUAUACCAUUUCCAUCUUAACUCUGAGUGAGAAUAUUUUUCCUGAGGGGAGCCAAAAGGGUUCCAAUCAGUGAUGUCUCCCUUGGAGACAUUAAUUAGCACUCAAGGUUCUCACUCUUACACUGUUGCCAAUGUACCCAGUCAGGUUCCUUGUUGGUAACCCUCAUUUCACAGAAUGCAGAUUUAUGGAAUUAAUAGUAUUAAUCUCUUGUCCUUUAAAACUGGAUGCAUGAAGCAUAUAAAACUUAUUAUGAUAAUCUUGGGUAUUAUUGACCAUGGAUAUCCAUAUUUUAGGGGUUAUAUUUAGGCAUUUACCAUGCAAACAGAAAUUCCUUGUACUCCAACAAUGUAAUUGUCAAUCACUUUACCCUUCUCCAUUGGCUGGGCAGGACCUAGGUUGUCAUAAGAGCCAGGUAGUCAAGAAGAUCCACUAACCAUUACAGAAAUAUUCAUAUCUCCCCAACUUACUGAUAUGUUAAUUGGAGGAUUGAGAAUAAAGCCCAAUGAUUAUGAUCCAUCCCUUUCAUGUGCACUGUUAACACAGAAAGCAUGGCAAGAAAUAAAUUUGUAGCAUUUAGAGGCUUGUGAGUCAUGCAA